GGGGUUAUAGCUCAGGGGGAGAGCAUUUGCUUGACGUGCAAAGGGUCGUAGGUUCAAAUCCUACUAACCCCACCA
rnacentral:tRNA from 1 species